AAUGAACGCUGGCAGCGUGGUUAAGACAUGCAAGUCGAACGGUUUAUUGGUUGUAGCAAUACAAUUGAUGAGCAGUGGCAGACGGGUGCGUAACACGUGAACAAUCUACCAUUAAGUGGGGAAUAGCCCAUCGAAACUGGGAUUAAUACCUGAUGGUCUCGCAAGAGUAAAGCAGCAAUGCGCUUGGAGAGGGGCUCGCGUCCUAUUAGUUAGUUGGCGGGGUAACGGCCCACCAAGGCGAUGACGGGUAGCCGGUCUGAGAAGAUGUCCGGCCACACUGGAACUGAGACACGGUCCAGACACCUACGGGUGGCAGCAGUCGAGAAUCAUUCACAAUGGGCGAAAGCCUGAUGGUGCGACGCCGCGUGGGGGAGGAAGGUCUUCGGAUUGUAAACCCCUGUCAUGUGGGAGCAAGACUUCGGUUUGAUAGUACCACAAGAGGAAGAGACGGCAAACUCUGUGCCAGCAGCCGCGGUAACAC
rnacentral:rRNA from 1 species